GGGGAUGUAGCUCAAUGGUAGAGUGCUUGCGUAACCUGCAGGAGACUUUGGGUUCAAUCCCCAGUGCUACCA
rnacentral:tRNA from 1 species